UACAGAGGUGGCAAGCGUUGUUCGGAAUUACUGGGCGUAAAGGGCGCGUAGGCGGCCUACUAAGUCAGACGUGAAAUCCCCCGGCUUAACCUGGGAACUGCGUCUGAUACUGGAAGGCUUGAGGAUGGGAGAGGGAUGUAGAAUUCCAGGUGUAGCGGUGAAAUGCGUAGAUAUUGCUCGGAAGGCCAGAGCCGAAGGGGCCCUACUGGUGCGCAACUGACACUGAGGCACGAAAGCCAAGGGAGCAAACAGG
rnacentral:rRNA from 1 species